rnacentral:rRNA from 1 species
GUGCCAGCCGCCGCGGUAAUACAGAGGUCUCAAGCGUUGUUCGGAUUCAUUGGGCGUAAAGGGUGCGUAGGUGGCGAGGUAAGUCGGAUGUGAAAUCUCCAAGCUCAACUUGGAAACUGCAUUCGAUACUGCUUUGCUAGAGGAUUGUAGAGGGCAUUGGAAUUCACGGUGUAGCAGUGAAAUGCGCAGAUAUCGUGAGGAAGACCAGUGGCGAAGGCGAAUGCCUGGGCAAUUCCUGACACUGAGGCACGAAGGCCAGGGGAGCAAACGGGAUUAGAAACCCGUGUAGUCC